UUGGGGCACGUGCGUGGAUGAUGGAUAGGAGCCUUGUGAUGGUCCUAGUCCAUAGGAUUCCCGUAACGGUAUUUAUUACUGCACGCUGGCUAGUUAUUUGAUGCUAGGCCAGGUGUGGCAGGCUGAGAUAUCAUCAUGGGGCCAGUUGUGAGUGGUUGUGACCACAUGUGUGCCAACCUUCUCUCUAGUGGUUUGUGAUUUACGAUGUUGGAUGACUGGUUUUGGUUGGAUGCUAGAGAGAGAGGUAGUGCGGGUGGAUUCUCGUCGGCUUAUCGCCACAGGGCGGGAAUCUGAUUCGCCGGCUUGGGUGUCAUUGGAGGUGGAUAUGGAGGUUCGGUUGGGUUGAUCGGGUGCAUUAGUUUUGCAUUGCAUAUUGUUGCAUCGGUUACUCGUUGUUACUUUUUCAGCCUUGUUAUUCUUUACUUGUGCUCUUUUGUUUUGUCCCUACUGAGCCUUCUGCGCUCACCCUAUCUACUUU